rnacentral:lncRNA from 1 species
UUCGGAACUUUAAAAUUGUAUUGAAGUUGGAGAUAUCAUGUUGACAACUUUUUUUUUCAUGUCUCUGCAAUUGUAUGCACAAACUAUCAUGUUUUCAUGCUUGUUUUUAAUGUCUAUUUUCCCCUUGAAUUAGUGUAAUAUUAACUAGGGAGCGUAUGCAUUGAUAGAAGCUUUGCUCCAUUUAGUGCAAUACUUGCAAUAGAAGAUGGAACAUCCUUUUACCUUUCAAGAACUUUAACAUUGCUAUGAAUUGACAAACAUCCCCCCACAAAGAGAAUAAAAAAAUAGAAUGCACCCGCAAAAAAAAA